GCGGGCGUGGCGGAACUGGCAGACGCGCCAGACUUAGGAUCUGGUGCCUAACGGCAUAAGAGUUCAAAUCUCUUCGUCCGCACCA
rnacentral:tRNA from 1 species